ensembl:lncRNA
GGUAUAGUCAGUCUCCUGUUCCUCUCUUCAGGUGAUAUGUACUUGGUAUAGUCAGUCUCCUGUUCCUCUCUUCAGGUGAUAUGUACUUGGGAUAGUCAGUCUCCUGUUCCUCUCUUCAGGUGAUAUGUACUUGGUAUAGUCAGUCUCCUGUUCCUCUCUUCAGGUGACGGCUUUCCUCUAGUCUUCCCUAAGAGUUUUUCAGCUGACGUGGUGAUUGAGAUAAUGAGCUGUGAGUCCUCUUGACAAUUGUUUUUAAACUGAGCCUACUUACAACAACUUCUCAGUGAUGUCUAGCAUUAAUACCAAUUUGAAGACCAAAUCCAAUGCCAUAGAGUGUAGACCGAUGGCAUAUAGGCUUCUUCACAUGGAAGAGAAAUACAUUCCUCAUGUUACAUUUUAUCUCAACCGUAGGCUUAUUGCCACCCCUUUUCAACAUCCUUUCCCUGGCCCCGUUUAUGUUCAGAUAAGAUAUACAAACAAAAGUACUUCAUCUUAAUGUUCACCAGGGACAGCACACAAGUAAUCCUUACUAUAUAUUGUAUUCAUUAAACCUACUAUUCUGGAUUUGUAAUACAUUUCCUUGGAGAAUCUCUACAUCUGAAUUUAUUUGACACUGAUGAAAGCACCACGUCUAUCCCACGUUCAGCUCGUCUCUGUAAAUUUGACGUGACGCAAUGAGAGUAUCGACAGUCACAUUGUCUUACAUCCCGUCUCUUCAGGAACAUCUGAUCUAAAUGACAGAUCGUCUGACAUGCCACUGACAUGCCAAAUCAAGUUUACUGCACUUGUUGUAAAUGACAUUGAGGAUCUGCUUGGACCAUCAAAAUGUUAUAGACGUUUUAUCAUCAUAGCAGCCACAUCGAGCUGAAAAAAUAAAAUAAGCCUGGAUUCCUCAUGUUGACAGUAUUAGGAAAGCCUGGUAAACAUUUGCAUUCAACUAUUUAGUGUCAGUGACUCAGAGGAAAUCAAGUCUGAAUAAAUUAGGGAGCAUGAAUAUAUUACAGUAUGAUCACAUGACUUACUGUAAGGUAGGCUCUGAGCCCCAGAUAUGGGUCUGAUUGGGUAUGUAUCCCUGUUUUCCAGUGGUAGGCCCGCCUGUCAUAUUUUUGUAGGCCAAGACAACUUUAAUAACAGCAGAACGGUUCACUAAGUGGGAUUUCCACCCACACCAGGGUGUUGUUAGUGUUUAUGUUAAUAGAAUAUUUUUUUCGGGGAACUGUGUUACCAUCAGGAAUGUGACACUUAAGACUUUGGGCGAGUAGAAUCAACAACCUAUGCAUCAUCAGAACAGUCGCUUAGUGAGAAAGUGUUAACCGUGGAAGGAGUUAGCCCAUGUUCACCUUUAAAAGGAAAAGGGGUUAGAUGCAGAGUGAUGUUUCUGCCAAGACCGGAGUUGGAUUAUGUAACGACAGAUGCCGUUUAUAUAACACGCCCAAACAUCUAGCAGCAUCUCUCUGUACCGCUCUCUCUCCCUGUCACCAUCACUUGCGCAUCAGUGCAGCGCAACAGCUCGUAGGUCUGUCCAAGCACAGCUUACAGCUUCCAUUUUCGGAGGUGAAAAAGCCGUUCAGCAUCCCACACAUUAACUUGAAUAACAAUCAGUGAGCCGGGGCGCCCCCUCCCCCCAGGUCCACAAAUAAGAUAUAUGACUCCUCGUCUUAGUCAUACCCAGCUCCAUUACUGUAUAACCCAUAUCAAUGUGACAAGGUGUGCGCACAGAAUGACAUGUGGACAUCUAAUGAUGUGAGUCACAUGUGGCCUAGUAAUUGGGAGGUAAAGCAUGACAUUUUGAGAUCACCUCAUGACCAUGCAUUGGCUGCUGUAUCAAAUGGCUGUGUAGGCUCCGAUAAAUACACAAUGCCGUCUUUUUGCACCAUCUAGUGGUAUGUUAAAAAAUAUAUGAUUUUUUUUCAUGCAGCCCUUUAAGUGGGCCUACUAUAUAUUCCCAAACUGUUGUCAUCUUUACCUUUAAAGCGCUCAUGGAUAAUAGUAUUUGUGUGUGUGUGUGUGUGCGUGCGCAAUGAUAAUUUUACUUUCAUUUGCAUGUGUUUGAUGCAUUCAUACUUUUCCAGCCAUUAAAGUGAACCCAUCCUCCCCAGUCAAAGACAGUAAAUUGAAUUAUUUUCAUUGAUGUGAACUACAAAUAAAAAACAAAAAAGAAGUUGGUACUAGUACUAGUUGCCCUAAUGGCUAGUUGUGACUUUUGAAAAUAAGUGUCUCUUUGUUUUUUCAUUUAAUGGCCUACUACAUAAAAUACUAGCAACAUUCUGUCCUAACAUAAAAUACUAGCGACCCAAUGUCCUAACACAUAAAAUACUAGCAACAUUCUAUCCUAACACAUAAAAUACUAGCGACACUGUCCUAACACAUAAAAUACUAGCGACACUGUCCUAACACAUAAAAUACUAGCGACACUGUCCUAACACAUAAGAUACUAGCAAAAAUCUGUCCUAACAAAUAAAAAACGAGCGACACUGUCCUAACACAUAAAAUACUAGCUUCAACCUGUCCUAACACAAAAUACAAGCCACACUCUGUCCUAACACAUAAUAUGAGAGCAACCCUCUGUCCUAACACAUACAAUACUAAACACUCUGUCCUAACACAUAAUAUGCGAGCAACACUGUCCUAACACAUAAAAAACUAGCGAUACUCUGUCCUAACAAAUACUAGCAACACUCUGUCCUAACACAUAUGCGAGCAACACUGUCCUAACGCAUAAAAUAAUAGCAACAUUCUGUCCUAACACAUAAAAUACUAGCAACACUGUCCUAACACAAAAUACUAGCGAUACUCUGUCCUAACACAUAAAAUACUAGCAACACUGUUCUAACACGUAAAAAACGAGCAACACUCUGUCCUAACACAUAUGCGAGCAACACUGUCCUAACGCAUAAAAUACUAGCAACACUCUGUCCUAACACAUAUGCGAGCAACACUCUGUCCUAACACAUAUGCGAGCAACACUGUCCUAACGCAUAAAAUACUAGCAACAAUCUGUCCUAACACAUAAAAUACUAGCCACACCCUGUCUGUAACGCUCGUCGUUGGAAUGAGGUGAGGACCAAAGUGCAGCGUGGUAAGUGUUCAUCAUUAUAUUUAUUAAACACAGAACACAAAACAAAAUAACAAAGGAGAACGAAACGAAACAGUUCUGUAAGGUGACAGACACAUAACAGAAAACAAUCACCCACACCACACAGGUGGGAAAAGGCUACCUAAGUAUGAUUCUCAAUCAGAGACAACUAACGACACCUGCCUCUGAUUGAGAACCAUACCAGGCCAAACACAAAACACAACAUAGAAAAAAGAACAUAGACAACCCACCCAACUCACGCCCUGACCAUACUAAAACAAAGACAUAACAAAAGAACUAAGGUCAGAACGUGACACUGUCCUAAUGCAUAGAAUACUAGUCCCAAGUCUGUCCUAACACAUAAAAUACAAGCAACACUGUCUUAACACAUAAAAUACUAACUGUGUAAGGGGUGCGUAAUCGGUGGCAGGGAAGUCAGACGCAGGAGAGCAGAACUUGAUAAUAGCCGGAGCAGUUUAAUAGCAAAACCCAAGGCAUAAAAAUAACAAGAUAAUUGAGUACAAAAACCCGCCGCGCACCAAACACGGAGUUACAAUAAACUAUCCCACACAAAGACAUGGGAGAAACAGAGUGUUAAAUACACGACAAAUGAUUGAGGGAAUUGAAACCAGGUGUGAGGAAAAACAAGACAAAACACAUGGAAAAUGAAAAGUGGAUCGAUGAUGGCUAGAAGACCGGCGACGCUGACCGCUGAGCGCCGCCCAAACAAGGAGGACCCGACUUUGGCGGAAUUCGUGAAAAACUGCACCCUUUACUAACGCAGAAAAUACUAGCAACACUCUGUCCUAACACAUGAAAUACCAACUUCACCCUGUCCUAACACAUAAAAUACUAACACUCUGUCCUAACACAUAAAACACUAACUUCACCCUGUCCUAACACAUAAAAUACUAACUGAACGGUUUCCUAAUGCAUAAAAUACUAGCAACACUCUGUCCUAACACAAAAAAAACAAGCAACACUCUGUCCUAACACAUAAAUUACUGUCAUGACUUCCCCCGAAGUCGGUCCCUCUCCUUGGUCUAGCCAUUGCAGAUCCACUUUUCAUUUUCCAUUUGUUUUUUCUUGUCUUCCCACACACCUGGUUUCAAUUCCAUCAAUUCCAUGUUGUGUAUUUAACCCUGUGUUCCCCUCAUGUCCUUGUCCGGUAUUGUUUAUUGAUAGUGCACGUUAUGUCUGGUGUGCAGCGGGUUGUGAACCCAUUUAUUGAUUGUUCUGUUUUCCGGUGGUUUUUAUAAUUAAACUGCGUUGUUGUAAACACAGUUUUUGCGUCUGACUUCCUUGCCGCCUGAACGCACUCCUUACAAUUACUAACAACAACAAUGUCCUAACACAUAAAAUACUAACAACACUCUGUCCUAGCACAUAAAAUACUAACAACACUGUCCUAACACAUAAAAUACUAAUAACACUCUGUCCUAACACAUAAAAUACUAACAACACUCUGUCCUAGCACAUAAAAUACUAACAACACUCUGUCCUAGCACAUAAAAUACUAACAACACUGUCCUAACACAUAAAAUACUAACAACACUCUGUCCUAACACAUAAAAUACUAACAACACUGUCCUAGCACAUAAAAUACUAAUAACUCUGUCCUAACACAUAAAAUACUAACAACACUCUGUCCUAACACAUAAAAUACUAACAACACUGUCCUAACGCAUAAAAUACUAAUAACACUCUGUCCUAGCACAUAAAAUACUAACAACACUGUCCUAACACAUAAAAUACUAAUAACACUCUGUCCUAACACAUAAAAUACUAACAACACUCUGUCCUAGCACAUAAAAUACUAACAACACUCUGUCCUAACACAUAAAAUACUAACAACACUGUCCUAACACAUAAAAUACUAAUAACACUCUGUCCUAACACAUAAAAUACUAACAACACUCUGUCCUAGCACAUAAAAUACUAACAACACUGUCCUAACACAUAAAAUACUAACAACACUCUGUCCUAACACAUAAAAUACUAACAACACUGUCCUAGCACAUAAAAUACUAACAACACUCUGUCCUAACACAUAAAAUACUAACAACACUGUCCUAACACAUAAAAUACUAAUAACACUCUGUCCUAACACAUAAAAUACUAACAACACUGUCCUAGCACAUAAAAUACUAAUAACUCUGUCCUAACACAUAAAAUACUAACAACACUCUGUCCUAACACAUAAAAUACUAACAACACUCUGUCCUAGCACAUAAAAUACUAACAACACUGUCCUAACACAUAAAAUACUAACAACACUCUGUCCUAACACAUAAAAUACUAACAACACUGUCCUAGCACAUAAAAUACUAACAACACUCUGUCCUAACGCAUAAAAUACUAACAACACUGUCCUAACACAUAAAAUAUUAACAACACUGUCCUAACACAUAAAAUACUAAUAACUCCUUCCUAACACAUAAAAUACUAACACUCUGUCCUAACACAUAAAAUACACUAUGGCCAAAGGUAUGUGGACACCUGCUCGUUGAACAUCUCAUUCCAAAGUAAUGGGGAAUAACAUGGAGUUGGUCCCCCCUCCCCAUUGCUGCUAUAACAGCCUCUACUCUUCUGGGAAGGCCUUCUAGUAGAUGUUGGAACAUUGCUGUGGCGACUUACUUCCAUUCAGCAACAGGAGCAUUAGUGAGGUUGGCCACUGAUGUUGGGAGAUUAUGCCUGGCUCACAGUUGGCGUUCCAAUUCAAAGGUGUUCGAUGGGGUUGAGGUCAGGGCUCUGUGCAGGCCAGUCAAGUUCUUUCUUACACACCGAUCUUGACAAACUAUUUCUGUUUUCUGCUUAGUGCAUGGGGGCAUUGUCAUGCUGAAACAGGAAAGGGCCUUCCCCAAACUGUUGCCACAAAGUUGGAAGCACAGAAUUGUCUUGAAUGUCAUUGUCUGCUGAGGUAUUAAGAUUUCCCUUCACUGGAACUAAGGGACCUAGCCUGAACCAUGAAAAACAGCCCCAGACCAUUAUUCCUCCUCCACCAAACUUUACAGCUGGCACUGUGCAUUCAGGCAAGUAGCGUUAUACCGGCAUCCGCCAAACACAGAUUUGUCAUUUGGACUGCCAGAUGGUGAAGUGUGAUUCAUCACUCCAGAGAAAGUGUGUCCACUGCUCCAGAGUCCAAUAGCGACAUGUUUUACACCACUCCAAGCGACACUUGACAUUGCAUAUGGUGAUCUUAGGCUUGUGUGCGGCUGCUUGGCCAUGGAAACCCACUUCGUGAAGCUCUGUACGAACAGUUCUUGUGCUGACGUUGCUUAAAGAGACCGUUUGGAACUCGGUAAUGAGUGACAAUUUUUACGCGCUACGUGCUUCAGCACUGGGCGGUCCUGUUCUGUGAGCUUGUGUGGCCUACCACUUCGCGGUUGAGCCGUUGUUGCUCUUAGAUGUUUCCACUUAACAAUUAAAGCACUUACAGUUGACCGGGGUAGCUUUAUCAGGGCAGAAAUUUGAUGAACUGACUUGUUGGAAAGGUGGCAUCCUAUGACGGUGCCAUGUUGAAAGUCACUGAGCUUUUCAGUAAGGCCAUUCUACUGACAAUGUUUGUGUAUGGAGAUUGCAUGGCUGUGUGCUCUAUUUGAUACACCUGUCAGCAACGGGUGUGGCUGAAAUAUCCAAAUCCACUAAUUUGAAGGGGUGUCCACAUAUUUUUGUAUUGUUCUAGCAACACUCUGUCCUAAUGCAUAAAAUACUAGCCUCACCCUAGACUAACCCAUACAUUACUAGCUACACCAUAUACUAACCCAUAAAAUACUAGCAACACUCUAUGUACACAUAAAAUCCAAUACUUUCCUGACGCAUACUGUCCUAAACCAUAAAAUACUAGCAGAACCCUGUCAUGACAUUGGCCUGGGGGUAGGUUUAUGACAGUCAUAAAUACCUCUUCCCCCCUUUUCCCUCUCUCUACCCUACUGAUGUUACAUUUGCAAUCCAUUGGUUAACAUAGAGAUUCUGGGAACAUCAGAAGGUGAGGGGAAAUGAACAAUAUUCUGGUAAUCUGACCAAUUGAACAUACGCGGUGGUACUUAAUGAAUAUGAUGUCAGUUCGGUUGUCAUCUGAGACAUUCUCAUCAAUGAUAUAAUGACAUAAACUCUACAGUGGAAAGUCUACACAUCAGAAUUAUCGGAUUCACUUGGAAUUGUUGUUCAAUUUAAAUGUUUGAAUAUGAAAUUAUUAGUGAUGGGAUGAAAUGUGAUUUUAGCUUCUAAAAUGUGUGAUUUGGGUUUUCAUAAGAUAGGGCUCUGCUCAAUCAGUGGCCCGCCCCUGUGAAGGGACAUGGGCUAUAGAACUUUUCAAACACGCCCUCCUCUCCCUUCCUAUAUAAGCCCCUGACGACAAUAUAACCUCCUGUUCCGAGGACGUGAGGACGACGGCCCGAUGUCAGAAUGGUUCAGAUAAUAACUACAGAACAAAGCUAAUAUCAGCGUGAGCUUUGGUUGCGAAUGGUAUGAACUUUGAACUCUUAUUCACUACAGAAGUGAUACCUCCUAGCCGUUGAGUUAGCAACAACCUCUGCAAACGAGGGUUAGGAAGGAACAGACAGAGUAUCCCGUCUACCACACUACGACGUUACUACAACAUAUUCAAUUUACCAGCAGACAUUCUUCAAAGGACAAAGGACUCGGUUGGGCAACACGGCCUUCCAUCUAC